ACAAUGGAGAGUUUGAUCCUGGCUCAGGAUGAACGCUAGCGGCAGGCUUAACACAUGCAAGUCGAGGGGUAACAGGAGAGCUUGCUCUUGCUGACGACCGGCGCACGGGUGCGUAACACGUAUGGAACUUACCUUUUACUGGAGGAUAGCCCGGAGAAAUCCGGAUUAAUACUCCAUAAUAAACGAAGUGGCAUCACUUUGUUUUGAAAGCUCAGGCGGUAAAAGAUGGCCAUGCGCACGAUUAGCUAGUUGGUAAGGUAACGGCUUACCAAGGCUACGAUCGUUAGGGGGCCUGAGAGGGUUAUCCCCCACACUGGUACUGAGACACGGACCAGACUCCUACGGGAGGCAGCAGUGAGGAAUAUUGCGCAAUGGAGGCAACUCUGACGCAGCC
rnacentral:rRNA from 1 species